rnacentral:rRNA from 1 species
AGAGUUUGAUCAUGGCUCAGAACGAACGUUAGCGGCGCGCCUAACACAUGCAAGUCGAACGCGACAGGGGCAACUCUGUUGAGUGGCGCACGGGUGAGUAACACGUAGGUAAUCUUCCCCCGAGUGGUGGAUAACCCUCCGAAAGGAGAGCUAAUACAGCAUAAGACCACGGGGUCGAAAGACCUUGAGGUCAAAGCGGAGGAUCGUAAGACUUCGCGCUUGGGGAUGAGCCUGCGGCCCAUCAGGUAGUUGGCGGGGUAAUGGCCCACCAAGCCAUAGACGGGUAGCUGGUCUGAGAGGAUGAUCAGCCACACUGGAACUGAGACACGGUCCAGACUCCUACGGGAGGCAGCAGUGGGGAAUCUUGCGCAAUGGACGAAAGUCUGACGCAGCGACGCCGCGUGGGUGAUGAAGGCCUUCGGGUUGUAAAGCCCUGUGGGGAGGGACGAAUAAGUUGCGGUUAAUACCCGCAGCGAUGACGGUACCUCCUUAGCAAGCACCGGCUAACUCUGUGCCAGCAGCCGCGGUA